AAAUAAAUCCGCUGCCCAAUUUUAAUUACCACAAAUAUUGUUCGAAAUUACAUUUUAAAUAGAAUAAGGGCAUUUUGGUAUCUGUGCAAAUCAUUAAAAACUGCAACCACCGGAUUUUACUCUCAUUUACCGCAUUUCAUCCCCCCCAACAUUUACUGUCAACCUAAUCGAUUCAAAAUCCGAUUUGAGGUUCCGAGGAGAUUUCGACGCAACAAAUCCAAUUGAAGGUGGGUAAUCGUCCGAUUUGAGGUUCCAAGGAGAUUUCGACGCAACAAAUCCGAUUGAAGAAUCGUCGGCGACUUGUUCGUAAAGGGUUAGGUUUUGAAGAUCUGCUGAAAUCGAACGGACCAACUUCGAUUGCAGUCGCUCGCUGACUUUACGUGACGGGCUUGUCGAAGCACACGACUGCUGCCGCUGCUGGUUCGAGCGCGCAUCCUGGCACCGCAGCACCCCGUGCUUGCUGCCCAUCUCGCCGAUCAAGAUAUCAUUGUCGUCAUCCGAUCCGAGCCCCAAGACGUUGGAAACAUACUGAAGGCAGAUGAACGGCUGAUGCUGGUGGUGGAGCACGCAAGCGGAGCAGAUCGCGGAUAAUACGCCCAGGUGAGGGAUGCAGUGGACGAGGAUCGGGGCUAACAAACAAAAUGCAUAAUUCCCGAUCCGCCAUGAAAGUGGGUUUUCUGGCAUAGUUCAAGAUUUUCGAGAAUGAGGAAUGAUUGUGAGAGUAGGAGGAUGAAGAAAGAUGCCUUUUUCUUUUCCAUUUUUCUAUUUUAUUUUAUAAAUUUAUUUUAUUAAUUUGUGAACAAAUUUUCUAUAGUUGAUAGAGACGAAUGAAGAGAUUUUUCAUAAGUAUGAUUUUUA